CCCGCUGGGGGGGCAGCACUCCCCGCUGGGGGGGGGAGCGAUCCCCGCUGGGGGGGGAGCGAUCCCCGCUGGGGGGGCAGCACUCCCCCGCUGGGGGGGCCCAGGCGGGCCCGGGCCUGCGGCGGGGUUAAUGCCCAGGCGCCGAGCUGAACGCCUCGGGCGCUCAGGAGAAAAACCGCUCAUCCCGGCCUUAAUGCAGGCGGCGCACCCUUACAGGACCGAUCCCCUCAUAAAAAAAACCCAACUAUAUAUUUGUAAAAAUAAGAUGGUACCCGAGCCCCUCUCGCCCCGAGGCGCGGCCGCGCAAGGCGGCAGGCCCCAGCUGAUGGCGGCGGCCGCGGCUCCGCCCUCUUCCGCCUUGGCCGCGGCGGCGGCGCCCCCUGGCGGCUGCGCGGGGUGCGGGCGGCCCCCGCCUCGGGGUGGUCAUCGCCCUCCGGUGAUGGGGUACCGCAGCGCCAGGGGGGGUUGGCUCCGGGCUGGUGGUGUUUGUUUUUUGGGUUUUUUUCUGACUAAAAUGACGUUAAAUACCAGCGGGUUUUUACUAGAAAUCGCGCAAACUUUCCUCAAAAAUCACCGAUGGCGUCUGGGGCCGUGAAAUAAGCCGGGGGAGGGAAUCCUCCUGCUUUCACCUGCAGGGAGCGGGUCCCUCGCUUCAUCUGCCGAAACACCCUCGGCGGUGGCUCAGCGCCCGCGGCGCAGACACGGACACGGAAAUGGACAGGGACAGGAACACGGACACCGACACGGGCACAGACACGGAGGCGGCAGUACCUCCCGCCCGCCGCCAGGGGGCAGCGCCGGCGCGGGCCGGGCCGGGGGCUGCGCGCGCAGCGCCUCGGCGGCGUCAGGGCGGGCGGGGGCGGUGCGUCCCCUCAUGGCGGCCCGGGGGCUGAGGGAGCCGGCGUGCUCCAUUGCUGUUUUCUCCACUACGAAGAGCAGCAAAGAAUGAGUGGCGUUGGGGCCCAUGAGAGACGAUGAGAUCACUUCAAAAGGGAGGAGAGAGAGAAUGAAAAUUAACUUCUCUGCUCUCAUCCUGAUUUUUCAUGUAAAAAGGUCAAAUGCAGUGUGAAGGCAAUGUGAAAAUCUUAACUGCCAAGGCAUCUGGGCUGUGUCAGAAAGACUUGCUGCUCUCUGCUUUCUUGGAGCUAAAAGAAAAUUCAGGUGUGGAACAGAAGAUACUUGUGUUCCCUGACAAGGAAGGAAACACUGAAAACAUGUAAUUUCCAGCAGGUGACAAUGGCAGGCAAAGACACGAAGGAUUCGCUUAAAAUCUGUUGGGGGGGCCUUAGCCCCUCCACUGAGCACUGCAAACAUGCUUCCUUUUCUAGGAAAUUAAAAUCUUAACAAACA